GGUAAAACUUCUCUAGGCCCCGAAAUAAAGGACAAAGUUGGCAGAGAGUGAGUGCAGGAGACAGAGCAGAGCUCAAACAGGAAGAAACAGUCUCCAGCCUCACCAGCCCAGGACCUGGGAGCCAUCUCUUUGAAAUGUCAUCAAAGGAGAUAGUGGAGUUAUCUCCUAGUCCCUAUGGGAAGGAACCUCCUGAAAAAUGCGCUAUCAAGAAGAGAUGUGCCAAGAAAUAGGGAAGUUAGAGGAUCUGGGAAACAUAAGAUUCCGACUCCGGGGAAGGGAAACGCCAUACCAGCAGCUGUACCAGAAGGCCUGGAGGGCAGCCUGUCCAGGAUGAAGAAGUUCAGAGGCUCUUCCAGAGGUGCUCCCAUGAAACAAAAUUAAUAAAUUGCCCAAGGAGUUCCAACA